rnacentral:pre_miRNA from 1 species
AAAGUACUCCCUCCGUCCCAAAAUUCUUGUCUUAGAUUUGUCUAGAUACAGAUGUAUCAAGUCACAUUUUAGUAUUAGAUACAUCCGUAUCUAGACAAAUCUAAGACAAGAAAUUUGGGACAGAGGGAGUAGUUA